GAUGAACGCUGGCGGCGUGCCUAAUACAUGCAAGUCGAGCGAACAGACGAGGAGCUUGCUCCUCUGACGUUAGCGGCGGACGGGUGAGUAACACGUGGAUAACCUACCUAUAGGACUGGGAUAACUUCGGGAAACCGGAGCUAAUACCGGAUAAUAUGUUGAACCGCAUGGUUCAAUAGUGAAAGACGGUUUUGCUGUCACUUAUAGAUGGAUCCGCGCCGCAUUAGCUAGUUGGUAAGGUAACGGCUUACCAAGGCAACGAUGCGUAGCCGACCUGAGAGGGUGAUCGGCCACACUGGAACUGAGACACGGUCCAGACUCCUACGGGAGGCAGCAGUAGGGAAUCUUCCGCAAUGGGCGAAAGCCUGACGGAGCAACGCCGCGUGAGUGAUGAAGGUCUUCGGAUCGUAAAACUCUGUUAUUAGGGAAGAACAAAUGUGUAAGUAACUAUGCACGUCUUGACGGUACCUAAUCAGAAAGCCACGGCUAACUACGUG
rnacentral:rRNA from 1 species